GGCUUAACACACGCAAGUCGAGGGGUAGAAGGCUUUCGGGCCUUUGAGACCGGCGCACGGGUGCGUAACGCGUAUGCAAUCUGCCUUACACUGAGGGAUAGCCCAGAGAAAUUUGGAUUAAUACCUCAUAGUAUAUUGAUGUGGCCUCACAUUAUUAUUAAAGAUUUAUCGGUGUAAGAUGAGCAUGCGUCCCAUUAGCUAGUUGGUGUGGUAACGGCAUACCAAGGCAAUGAUGGGUAGGGGUCCUGAGAGGGAGAUCCCCCACACUGGUACUGAGACACGGACCAGACUCCUACGGGAGGCAGCAGUGAGGAAUAUUGGACAAUGGGCGCAAGCCUGAUCCAGCCAUGCCGCGUGCAGGAUGACGGUCCUAUGGAUUGUAAACUGC
rnacentral:rRNA from 1 species